rnacentral:rRNA from 1 species
AAACGAUGGAGGUCAGUCGUGUCUGUGGGAUUCAGCCGUCUCUGGCGGUGUACUUCCCACAGACGGGUCAACAUCAGUUUUGGCUGGCGGAUAAAGGCAGGAGGAAGGUGGCACCCCCGGGUGUG